rnacentral:rRNA from 1 species
AUUGCCUCAGUAACGGCGAGUGAAGCGGCAAGAGCUCAAAUUUGAAAGCUGGCCCCUUCGGGGUCCGCGUUGUAAUUUGCAGAGGAUGCUUCGGGUGCAGCCCCCGUCUAAGUGCCCUGGAACGGGCCGUCAUAGAGGGUGAGAAUCCCGUCUGGGACGGGGUGUCUGCGUCCGUGUGAAGCUCCUUCGAAGAGUCGAGUUGUUUGGGAAUGCAGCUCUAAAUGGGUGGUAAAUUUCAUCUAAAGCUAAAUACUGGCCGGAGACCGAUAGCGCACAAGUAGAGUGAUCGAAAGAUGAAAAGCACUUUGAAAAGAGAGUUAAACAGCACGUGAAAUUGUUGAAAGGGAAGCGUUUGCGACCAGACUCGCUCGCGGGGUUCAGCCGGCAUUCGUGCCGGUGUACUUCCCCGUGGGCGGGCCAGCGUCGGUUUGGGCGGCCGGUCAAAGGCCCUCGGAAUGUAUCACCUCUCGGGGUUGUCUUAUAGCCGAGGGUGCAAUGCGGCCUGCCCGGACCGAGGAACGCGCUUCGGCUCGG